GCGCAAAGGGUCGAGAUGUCAGAGAAAAAGCAACCCGUAGACUUAGGUCUCUUAGAGGAAGAUGAUGAGUUUGAAGAGUUCCCGGCGAAGACUGGGCUGUGGGCUGGCUUAGAUGAAGAUGAAGAUGAAGAUGCACAUGUCUGGGAGGAUAAUUGGGAUGAUGACAAUGUAGAGGAUGAUUUCUCUAAUCAGUUACGAGCUGAACUAGAGAAACAUGGUUAUAAGAUGGAGACUUCAUAGCAUCCAGAAGAAGUGUUGAAGUACCCUAAACCUGACCUGCUUAAUAAGUUCUAGGACAGAGAACCCAGGAUGGGACACUAAAAAAAUGUGUUUAUUUCAUUAUCUGCUUGGAUUUAUUUGUGUUUUUGUAACACAAAAAAUAAAUGUUUUGAUAUUAAAAAAAAA